rnacentral:rRNA from 1 species
AGAGUUUGAUCCUGGCUCAGGACGAACGCUGGCGGCGUGCUUAACACAUGCAAGUCGAACGGUGAAGCCCUUCGGGUGGAUCAGUGGCGAACGGGUGAGUAACACGUGGGCAAUCUGCCCCAGAUUCUGGGACAACACCGGGAAACCGGUGCUAAUACCGGAUACGACGCAUCUCCGCAUGGGGUGUGCGUGGAAAGCUC